UCAGGCCUAACACAUGCAAGUCGAACGGGCGUAGCAAUACGUCAGUGGCAGACGGGUGAGUAACACGUGGGAACCUUCCUAGAGGUACGGAACAACUCAGGGAAACUUGAGCUAAUACCGUAUAAGCUCUUGCAAGGAAAGAUUUAUCGCCUUUAGACGGGCCCGCGUAGGAUUAGCUAGUUGGUGGGGUAACGGCCUACCAAGGCGACGAUCCUUAGCUGAUCUGAGAGGAUGAUCAGCCACACUGGGACUGAGACACGGCCCAGACUCCUACGGGAGGCAGCAGUGGGGAAUCUUGGACAAUGGGCGCAAGCCUGAUCCAGCCAUGCCGCGUGAGUGAAGAAGGCCUUAGGGUUGUAAAGCUC
rnacentral:rRNA from 1 species